CACGUAGGGGGCGAGCGUUGUCCGGAUUUAUUGGGCGUAAAGAGCUCGUAGGCGGUUUGGCAAGUCGGGUGUGAAAUUUCGAGGCUCAACCUCGAAACGCCACUCGAUACUGCCAUGACUGGAGUCCGGUAGAGGAGUGCGGAAUUCCUGGUGUAGCGGUGAAAUGCGCAGAUAUCAGGAGGAACACCGGUGGCGAAGGCGGGGUCUCUGGGCCGAUACUGACGCUGAGGAGCGAAAGCGUGGGGAGCGAACAGGA
rnacentral:rRNA from 1 species